CGGAAAAGAAAAGCUAUAGGCUGUAGAGCAGAGCCUGGACUUUGCUCACCAGAGAUCCCAGCUGAACGGCUUAUCAGGACGCAGAGAGGUUCAGUAGAUAAGAGUUAAUCUCACCUGACAGGUGUGCAUCGAUUAUGAGGAGGGCUGGAGCUGCAAGGUUUCACUACGGUGGGUAUCGUACCUUCUUCUUCUUCUUUUAUUCUUCUGCUGUUGUACGGGCGGUCUGGCUCUGUGUCCCACUGCCGCUCCCAAGCGGACCGGAGUGUGGAGCAGUAUUCUGAUUCUAAAACAAUAAAUAAAGUCAAACAAAUAAACUAAAAAAUACUAAAUAACUUAACUAAAUAACUAUUAAAUAUAAAUAAAUAAUAAUAAUAAUUUAAAUAUUACAAUGAAAUAAAAGAAAAUACAAUACAAUAAAACAAUAUUUAUGUUGAGCGCCGACUUCUGUGUUGAACGCAGAAUGCACCUUAUGGUGGAGGAUGAGCUCCGAGGACACCCUUUGAACCCUGCGCUUCAUUCUCAAGUGCGUUCCUUCGACGACGGCCGGCGGCCCAGGCGCAAAUAAUUUUUUCGUAGAUGGUAGCUUUCCUUCGUAGGAUGGUAGAUUUCUUUAUAGGUCCAUGGAUGGUAGGGACCCUAACCCUAACCUUAACCCUAACCAAUCAGAGGCGAAGCAGAGGCGCCAUGAUUUUCCAGGAUUCCGCCUACGAAAAACACAUUUGAGGCCCGGGCGGAAAAUUCAGGAGGGAGAAAGAAGGCACCUGCACAGGCCAUGGGUAGCCCUGGACGGUGUUCUGUCAAUCUACGCUACCUGGUUCUACGCAUGCCAACAAUAUUGAUCCGCGGUGUAGUAGUGGUGUAAAAUACAAAUACUGUAAGCCUGAAAUCUCCAAUAAAGACGUUAUAAUACAGUAGCAAAAUAUGUUCCCCCUAUUCUUACAGUGUACAUGGAGUGAGUAGGUGUGUAAAAUAACGUGAUUCUGUAGUGGGAGCAUCGUUUGAUUGAGGCAAUUGUUCUGCAGUUCAAAACUAAACACAUAAGGUAGCACUUUUUGAUAGGGUAGAACGACUCGGUAGACAGUGCAAAUCCUUAUCAAUAGUUCAUAUAAUUAUUGGGAUACGAGAGAGAGAGAGAGAGAGAGAGAGAGAGAGAGAGAGAGAGAGAGAGAGAGAGAGAGAGAGAGAGAGAGAGAGAGAGAGAGAGAGAGAGCCAGAGAGAGCCAGAGAGAGACAGAGAGAGCCAGAGAGACAGAGAAGAGUGAAAGGCUGCAAGAGGGCCUACAGCUGACAGUAGAGAGCAUGCCCUAGUGCCCUGAUAGGUGUUUGGCUUCUUGUGUAGGUCCAGGUACACCACGGGAACCAUGGUGGGAAAGAAAAACAGAUAGAAAAAAGCCAUACAAAAAGUAAAGCCACUUAAAAUAUAUUGCAUGUAUGGUGUUUCAAACAGUAUGCAGCCUGCAGUACACCCAUUCUCAUAACACCUGUGUACUUUGUGUAAUGUAGC
rnacentral:lncRNA from 1 species